GACAGAGAGAAAGAUGGAGAAGAGAGAAAGAUGAAGGUUUGGAGCGGUUUUGGUAGAAUCGAGCUACGGAGCUCGUUUCUCGAUCAAAUUCGAUGAUUUUGGUGGCUAUGGAUUCGGGAUUCAAUCAUCUACUCAGGAUCGGACGAGCGACUAUCGAAAAGGUUUGAGGCAAACGGAUCGAGAUAUCGUCAUAAUUAUUUGAAGAAUUUGGAUAGCAAGUGGGAUGGUAUGAUAUGAUUUGAAGAGUUAAGCUUCCGAAGUUUUAAUUCUCGGAAGUCAUUUGUAUAAGAAGAAAAAGAAGGUUUUCAUUCUAGCAGUCCGCAGUAGUCUAGAUAUUUUAACUAGAAUUUUGUAUAACGCGUUUUUAACUCUGAUAUUAUUUUUAAAUGGGGUCACAUGUAUUUUAAUAUAUGAAAUAUGUUUUGAUUUGCGAAAAAUUUACACAGGUUUUUAGGCUUGCUACGGGAUUUGGAGCUACCACUCCCAUUUCCUAGCGCCGGUCGCGGCUCAUAAAUUUGGGUCGUGA